rnacentral:rRNA from 1 species
CCUACGGGAUGCAGCCGGCACGAAACCUUCACAAUGCACGAAAGUGCGAUAGGGGGACUCCGAGUGCGGUCUUCCCACUAGGAAGGCCGCUUUUCUGCACUGUAGGAAGGUGCCGGAGCAAGGGGUGGGCAAGACGGCUGCCAGCCGCCGCGGUAAUAGCCGCACCCCGAGUGGUGACCAGUAUUAUUGGGCUUAAAGUGUCCGUAGCUUGCCGUGUAAGUCCGCUGUGAAAUCCACCUGCUCAACAGGUGGGCGUGCAGCGGAUACUGCACGGCUUGGGGCCGGACGGCGUCGAGGCUAUUCCAGGGGUAGGAGUGAAAUCCUAAAAUCCCUGGAGGAGCACCUGUGGCGAAAGCGCUCGGCGAGUACGGACCCGACGGUGAGGGACGAAAGCCAGGGGAGCAAAGCGGAUUAGAUACCCGCGUAGUCCUGGCUGUAAACAAUGCCUGUUAGAUGUCGGGUAACCUCCGAGGUUGCCCGGUGCCGAAGUGAAAACGUUU